rnacentral:rRNA from 1 species
UACGUAGGGGGCAAGCGUCGUCCGGAAUCAUUGGGCGUAAAGGGCGCGUAGGCGGCCAGAUAAGUCCGGUGUGAAAGUCACAGGCUCAACCUGUGAAUGCCGCUGGAAACUGUUUGGCUAGAGUCCGGUAGGGGCGAGUGGAAUUCCUGGUGUAGCGGUGAAAUGCGCAGAUAUCAGGAGGAACACCAAUGGCGAAGGCAGCUCGCUGGAACGGUACUGACGCUGAGGCGCGAAAGCGUGGGGAGCGAACAGG